rnacentral:misc_RNA from 1 species
AAGUCGUAACAAGGUUUCCGUAGGUGAACCUGCGGAAGGAUCAUUAACGUAUCUCUGGCCGGUAGGUCAGCCCUGCUCCGGUCGCAAGGCCGUGCAGCGGGCAGACUGGUCCGUGCCAAACCUUCACAAACCCCACCGUGCACUUUAACGGUCGAAGGCCUCCGGCGAGAGCCGCUGAGCCUGAAGCCGUCCAACCAAACACCUUUUUAUUGUCGUAUGAUUGCGUCCUCAGAGUCGCCUAAAACGUAACAACUUUCAACAACGGAUCUCUUGGCUCUC